CAUGCUUUGAAAUGUGUGUGCCA
rnacentral:siRNA from 1 species